rnacentral:rRNA from 1 species
UAGUAACUGCGAGUGAAGCGGGAAAAGCUCAAAUUUGAAAUCUGGCGGUCCUUGGCCGUCCGAGUUGUAAUCUAGAGAAGUGUUACCCGCGCUGGACCGUGUACAAGUCUCCUGGAAUGGAGCGUCAUAGAGGGUGAGAAUCCCGUCUCUGACACGGACUCCCAGGGCUUUGUGGUACGCUCUCAAAGAGUCGAGUUGUUUGGGAAUGCAGCUCAAAAUGGGUGGUAAAUUCCAUCUAAAGCUAAAUAUUGGCGAGAGACCGAUAGCGAACAAGUACCGUGAGGGAAAGAUGAAAAGAACUUUGGAAAGAGAGUUAAACAGUACGUGAAAUUGCUGAAAGGGAAACGCUUGAAGUCAGUCGCGUUGGCCGGGGAUCAGCCUCGCAUUUGCGUGGUGCACUUUCCGGUUGACGGGUCAGCAUCAAUUUCGGCCACUGGAAAAAGUCCUGAGGAAUGUGGCAGCUCCGGCUGUGUUAUAACCUCUGGUCGCAUACAGUGGUUGGGAUUGAGGAACUCAGCACGCCGCAAGGCCGGGUUUCGACCACGUCCGUGCUUAGGAUGCUGGCAUAAUGGCUUUAAGCGACCCGUCUUGAAACACGGACCAAGGAGUCUAACAUGCCUGCGAGUGUUUGGGUGGAAAACCCGAGCGCGCAAUGAAAGUGAAAGUUGAGAUCCCUGUCGUGGGGAGCAUCGACGCCCGGACCAGAACUUUUGGGACGGAUCCGCGGUAGAGCAUGUAUGUUGGGACCCGAAAGAUGGUGAACUAUGCCUGAAUAGGGUGAAGCCAGAGGAAACUCUGGUGGAGGCUCGUAGCGAUUCUGACGUGCAAAUCGAUCGUCAAAUUUGGGUAUAGGGGCGAAAGACUAAUCGAACCAUCUAGUAGCUGGUUCUGC